CUACGGGAGGCAGCAGUGGGGAAUCUUCCGCAAUGGGCGAAAGCCUGACGGAGCAACGCCGCGUGAGUGAUGAAGGCCUUCGGGUUGUAAAACUCUGUCUUCAGGGAAGAAACAAAUGACGGUACCUGAGGAGGAAGCCCCGGCUAACUACGUGCCAGCAGCCGCGGUAAAACGUAGGGGGCGAGCGUUGUCCGGAAUUACUGGGCGUAAAGGGCGCGUAGGCGGUUAUCCAAGUCACAGGUGAAAACUACCGGCUCAACCGGUAGCCUGCCUGUGAAACUGGGUGACUUGAGGGCAGGAGAGGGGAGUGGAAUUCCCAGUGUAGCGGUGAAAUGCGUAGAUAUUGGGAGGAACACCAGUGGCGAAGGCGGCUCUCUGGCCUGUUACUGACGCUGAGGCGCGAAAGCGUGGGGAUCAAACAGGAUUAGAUACCCUGGUAG
rnacentral:rRNA from 1 species